UGUGUGUUUGGUUUUGUUUGUCAUGCCUAUUUUCGUGUAAACAUGUAAUGGUGUAUUUGUCUUGUGUUUUCCCGGUAACGAAGCUGGUGAAAAUCUUAAAUGCUCUGUAUUGCAGAUCUGUGUUGCGGUUAUGUUGCUGUUAUGUGUUGUUUGUAGAUGAAAUGAACAAGAGUUAGUUUCUUUGAAAAGAAUUUUGUGGAUCUAGCAGGAACCUGAUGUGAUGCAUUUUUAUGCUCAGUCAAUGAUGUUAUUGCUGCUCGUAUAUGAAUACAUGGAGAACGAUAGUCUUGCUCGCACUAUUUUCGGUAAGGGCUUCAUGUAACAGGUUUUGGUUGUCUAUAUGUUUCUGAUAAGUUAAAAUCAAACUUUAAAAAACAUUUUUUCUUCAUACAGUGCACAGGUUUGAAAUUCUUGAUUAUUUAUAUUGACUUUCACCCUUUCCGCCUCACAGAUGCUAAAUUUUCUUUGGUAUCUAAAUCUGUACAUAGAGAGAUUGGACUCGGAAUUGGUAACAAACUGUGGAAUAUGACGAGACAUUUUAUAUCGAAGUUCAGUCCCGAAGGAUUUAAAUUGAUUAUGCAUUCUAAGAAGCUUAUUCCAGAAUAUUAUUAUUCAUGAAGAUUUGAGCAACGUCAAACUCCCUCCUUUGCAUGAUCUGAGUUAUCAGAUUAUUAAAUGAUCAACAUGUGUUCUGGAUAUUUUGUAUGAAUUAUUGCGGACAUUACACCCAGUGUCUGUAUCUAUAGUUUCUUCCUCUGACAGCAAAUUCUCCGAGGUAUGACAACUCUUUUUUUGGUUUUUCAAUACAUAAGAUACAUCAAGGUUGAUUUUCUUAAUACGUGUUAUCAGCGAUUAAGCAAAACAUUUUACUCCCCAUAUAGUCUGUUUUUGCGAUUAACUUUUUCAAAAACGUGAUUGCAGUCGGUAUACGAAAUGAUGAAGAUCAAAUAUGAGGAUCCAAUCUGUUGCAGAUAUAAUUCUUCAAAAAAUAAAUUUUUGGUUGAGAUGCUUGAGAUUGUGGAAGCCUCUGAAGAUGAAAUCACUUCUACAUUAUAUUUUUGGUCGGUGAUGAAAAGGUGAAUCAGAUGGAGGUUUGAAAAGCUGGUUGCCUAAGAAAGACCUGCAUUGAUAUGCUUUUAUUUGAUUAAUUGAUUUUUAUUUAGGGUCUUUUGGAAGCAAACAGCUAGAGCAAUUCAGCCGGUGCUUGAGUUUGGAGAGCCAAGAAUGGUUGUGGCAGAUGGCCAUUCAAACCUUUUAAAGUGUCGUCUAGCAGCUACCAUUAGGUGCCUUUGUCAUCCAAGUGCACACGUCCGAACUCUGAGCGUGUCAAUUCUUCGCCAUAUUUUGAAUACCUGCUCAAUCAGGUGUAGUCCUAAACCACCGCGAAUUAACGGCAACCACAACCCCUCUUAUCCAUACUUCAAGUUGGACGUUGUUAAUUGGCAAGCUGACAUAGAAAAAUGCCUGUCAUGUGAAGCUCACAACAGAAUUUCAGCUGGAUUACCUAUUAAGUUUCUUGACACUGCUGCCAAAGAAUGUGUCAGACUAUAAGAAAUGAAAAUGAAAAACCAAUUUAGUCUGUGACCAUUUUUCACUAGACUUACAGAGAAACUAUUUAUGAUUUUGGAACUAACGGGUUUGCGUAUACGCAAACAUCAUUCUGUUAGUCUGUCAUAAAAAACCGCAGUCAUGAUUCCAGUUUGUUUAUAGAAAGCUCAUUUUGUAUUAUGUAUGUGCAAAUGAGUGUGCUUUAACUAACAGACAUGUACACUUGUAAAGAAAAGA